UACAGAGGUGGCAAGCGUUGUUCGGAAUUACUGGGCGUAAAGGGCGCGUAGGCGGCCUACUAAGUCAGACGUGAAAUCCCCGGCUUAACCUGGGAACUGCGUCUGAUACUGGAAGGCUUGAGGAUGGGAGAGGGAUGUAGAAUUCCUGGUGUAGCGGUGGAAUGCGCAGAUAUCAGGAGGAACACCGAUGGCGAAGGCAGAUCUCUGGGCCGUAACUGACGCUGAGGAGCGAAAGCGUGGGGAGCGAACAGG
rnacentral:rRNA from 1 species